AUGUCUGAACCAGCCACGCAAUGCAGGGGAAAUGGCGGCGGCGGCGGCGAGGGCGGUGCCGGCGGCAUGAGGACGGUGGAGUGCCUCAGAGGGAGGCUGCUCGCCGAGAGGGUGGCGUCCAAGGCGGCCAAGGAGGAGGCCGACCAGCUCGCCGCCAGGUUGGACGAGCUUGAGAAGCGGCUCUCCAACGAGGUCAAGAUCAGGGACAGGGCGGAGCGGAGGCUGAGGAGGGCCAUCAGGAGGCUCGAGUCCCUCAAGAUUCUGGAUGUGGGGAGCUCCAUCGGCUCGCUCUCCUCCAACUCCAACGCCUGCUCCGGCCAACAGGCGGCGCCGGAGAUGGACGGUCCGGCGAGCUCGCUGAGCACCGUCGAUUCCGUGCGGUCCGGCCCUCGCGAGGACAAGGGAUGGGACGGCGAGAGCGUGAAGGGCUCCUCGGCCGGUUCCUGCACUCAGGCCAACUCCUCCCAGGACGGGAGCUGGUUCUCCGUCGUGUCCGAGCAGUCCGGCUCUGGAGUCUGCAAGGAGGAGGAGAGUCGCGCGGAGGACUCUGACGACGCCGAGAAGUGCGGUUCCGGUGACAGUGCCGGUGACGUUGAUCGUGAUUCAGAGAGCAGGAGAGAAGAGCAGCCUGGAGCGUCCAGCGGCUCGUCAAAAUCCGAAGCGAGCUACCGCGACGAGGACGACGACAGGCUCGCGCUGGUGCUGGUAGACAACCCGCACUACAGCGCAGAGCCGGCCGAGACCAAGGAGAAGGAGGAUGAGAAAGAAGGGAACGACGAGCUCGCCGUGGUCCUGGCGGGCCCCCAGCCGAGAGCGACGAGCGACGUGCAGUCGGUCCUGCUGGCGCUGCGGCAGGUCAAGGAGCAGCUGCGCUACACCAUCCAGAGGAGGUCGGAGGGGCUUGUCGCGCACCGAGAGCUAUACGGCCACUGA
rnacentral:rRNA from 1 species